rnacentral:piRNA from 1 species
AAAACAAACAAACAAACAAACAAACAAAC